rnacentral:rRNA from 1 species
GAUCAUGGCUCAGGAUGAACGCUAGCUACAGGCUUAACACAUGCAAGUCGAGGGGAAACGACAUCGAAAGCUUGCUUUUGAUGGGCGUCGACCGGCGCACGGGUGAGUAACGCGUAGUCCAACCUGCCCACCACUUGGGGAUAACCUUGCGAAAGUAAGACUAAUACCCAAUGAUAUCUCUAGAAGACAUCUAGAAAGAGAUUAAAGAUUUAUCGGUGAUGGAUGGGGAUGCGU